rnacentral:rRNA from 1 species
UACGUAGGGAGCGAGCGUUGUCCGGAUUCAUUGGGCGUAAAGAGCUCGUAGGCGGCUUGGUAAGUCGGAUGUGAAACCCCCAGGCUCAACCUGGAGUCGCCAUCCGAUACUGCCAUGGCUAGAGUCCGGUAGGGGCCCACGGAAUUCCUGGUGUAGCGGUGAAAUGCGUAGAUAUCAAGAGGAACACCAGUGGCGAAGGCGAGUCCCUGGACAACUUCUGACGCUGAGGCACGAAAGCUAGGGGAGCAAACAGG